CGCAGCGUUGUUGUGCAUAAACGGAAACCCCACGCUGUUAUGGUCGGCUGAGGAGUGAUAGAACAUGAGGGAAAUUUCCCCUGGCUACUGCUCGCUAGAUUGCGCCGUUAGUUUCAAACAGAGUUGAGAUGAGUGGACAAUGCUGACCAGAGACGCGGCGCAUGUCUUCGCUGGCAGCAUCAGAGGGGGGAUGACGAGCGGCGGACCAUGCAGCGGUAAAGCGCAGUGAAGGCACGAGACAUGACAGAAAACCGUUUCACCGAACAACAGCUCUGUCACUAUAAACAAGGAUAUCCCCCUGUGUGUAACCAAGGACAACACCAUUUUCCUAUCCAGUCGAAUCAAUCGGAUGAAAGCUAGGGGUAUUGAGUGGGAUGAAAAAAGAUUGACAAUGGGAUAGAUCCCCUCUCCCAACACUGACUGCUCUCUGGUUCGCUGCACACGAGCAGCAGCGAAGCUCAGUCUCUCCUGUUGUUUUCCAGAUGAGCUGCCGUGGCCGGCUCUGUUCCUGCCAGCCGUCUGCUAGAGCAGGGAUCGAUACGGACGCUUCCACAGACAGCAGAGCGCACUGAAGCGCUCAGUGGGUGACUGAGCAGAGCGUGUUCCGCUAAAGAUAACGCUGUGCUGGUUAAAUGCAGCAGGCUGUUUCGCCACCCUUUACAGGCUGCUCCCCCAUGAUAGCCAUUAUAAUAAUGGAUUGACAACUCUCUUAGAUAAAGAUAUUGCAAAAAUA